GGGCCAGUAGUUCAGUGGUUAGAACUCCCCGCUCAUAACGGGGUUAUCGCGGGUUCAAGUCCUGCCUGGCCCACCA
rnacentral:tRNA from 3 species